rnacentral:lncRNA from 1 species
AAAUGAUCAAGAAGGUUUUGGUAUGGUCCUACUCCUGUGACGAGACCUUGAACGAAGUAACCCACUAUUGCCAACAUGGCCAAUCUUCCGUUCUUAAUCUCCUUCAGCUUUAAGUCCCUCAAGGAUUUCUCAUCUUUGCCGAGCCCAAGAGGGUUGAAGAGGGGGCCACCAGGGUAUGGAGGAUCACCGGAGCCUCCCAAGUAUUUCUCGAAACCUAAGAAGUACUGCUUGCCCAAACACCCUGGCUUACACCAGUCCUGGAAUCUCCUGUGCUCAGCGAAUCCCAUGAGUGCCAGCUCAAAGACAAAUAAGGUGUAGGGAUCUGCCCAGUAGUCAUAUGUACCAGCAGGAGGAAUCACUCCAGUCUUGAACCAAGGAAGAGCUGUUUCAGGUGGAAUGAGACCAGCUUUUCCGAGGAUCUCAGGUGCAAUUGCUCCCACUGCUCCCAACAUGGCAUAUCGUCCGUUAAUGACUUCUCCAUAUGCGAGCCAUCCUGGCUCAAUGAAGCCUCCAGGACCCUCGGGAUCUGAGAGUCCCAGCGGAUCAAAUCCGUAGUCUCCAGGAAGACUGCAAAAAGUCAAGAAUCCAUCAGCUAUUACGUCCACUUCUUUGUAUCUAGUUUUGUGCGUGUGUGUAGAAACUGCGCAGGCAAGCGCCUUAAAAAGGAGAUAUUGGGAUCGAGAACAUUAUUGAACCCCAUAAUCUGCUAGUGGUGAACUAUGUGUAUCAGAUUGCUCUGAAGCUUUAGUAUUCAAUACUGCUACAAUCCUUUGAUUCUUUAC